rnacentral:lncRNA from 1 species
GACAUAUUUAUUGACCCAUUGCAAUCUCUCCUAUGGACAAAGCCCAGGUGUUAUGACUCUCAUCUUUUCACUGGAACCUGCCAAGAAGGGUGAUUGUGACAUAUCACUGGACCCAGCACCUUGGUGAUGUGACUCUCCUCUCCUCUUGGGCCCUGCAUACAUUGUGUCUAUGGAAAUAUAGCUGGUCCAACACCUAGGUAAUGUGACUCUCCUGCAUAGGCCUUGCUAAUAGGGGAAGUAUGACAUAUGUUUUAUCACUUAAGUGAUGUUACUCUCCUUUUCUUCCUGAAUCCUGUAAAAGGGGGGGAUUGUGACCCUAUCACUGAACCCAGCACAUAAGUAAUAUUGAGUUUCCUGCAUAGGCUCUGUUCAGAAGGGUAUUAUGACAUAUCUUUUUGUUCAUCACUUUGUGACUUGUCUUUUGACUGGAACCUGCCAAAAAGGGUGAUUGUGACAUAUUACUGGACCCAGCACCUAGGUGAUGUGGCUCUCCUUUUUUUCUGGGCCUCACAUAUUUUGGGUAUUGUGAUGUAUAGCUGGGCUCAACACCUAGCAGUUGGGGAGCUCCUUUCUUGACCAUUCCCACAAAUGACAUAUCUCUGCUAUGACCACCUAUGACACAUGAGCUAAAUAUGUGACUCUUCUUUUCUGCCUGCACCCUGCUAACAGAGAAGAUUGUGACAAAUUGCUAAGUGCAGUGUAUCUUGUGCUGACCUUGUAUCUCAGCCUGUGACCAAGAAUGCCUAACCUCCGGGGAAUGCAGCCCUGUAGGUCUCAACCUCAAUUUACCCAGCCACUACUCAAAAUAGAGUCACUCUGGUUUAAAUGCCUCUGACAUUAAGAUACACUAUAAAAUUAUGAAAAAAGUUUAUUUGAAUUUUAGCAAAUGAGAAAUGAAAUAAUUAGAAUGGGCUAUUCUGAAAGAUAUAGCAUUAGUUAUAUUUGUGUUUGAGUUUUCGAUUAACCUAUAUUUGUUACUUAUGAAUAGAUAUCUUGUUUUAUUCUGUCUAAACAGAUACACUAGGUGGGGUGUAAUGCUGGCUCAUGCCUGUAAUUCCAGCACUUUGGGAGGCCGAGGCGAGUGGAUCACCUGAGGUCAGGAAUUUGAGACAAGCCUGACCAACAUGGCAAAAACCUGUCUCUACUAAAAAUACAAAAAUUAGCUGGCCAUGGUGGCAGGUGCCUGUAAUCCCAGCUACUUCGGAGGCUGAGGCAGGAGAAUCGCUUGAACCCGAGAGGCGGAGGUUGCAGUGAGCCAAGAUCAUGCCACUGCAUUCCACCCUGGGUGACAGAGCGAGACUCUGUCUCAAAAAAUAAGAUAAAAUAAGCGGCCAGGCAUGCUGGCUCAUGCCUGUAAUCCCAACACUUUGGGAGGAUGAGGAGGGUGGAUCACAAGGUCAGGAGUUCAAGACCAGCCUGGCCAAGAUGGUGAAACCCUGUCUCUACUAAAAAUACAAAAAUUAGCCACGUGUGUUGGCGGGUGCCUGUAAUCAAGAUGGUGAAACCCUGUCUUUACUAAAAAUACAAAAAUUAGCCAUGUGUGUUGGCGGGUGCCUGUAAUCCCAGCUACUCGGGAGGCUGAGGCAGAGAAUUGCUUGAACCCAGGAGGCGGAGGUUGCAGUGAGCCAAGAUCUCACCAUUGCACUCCAGCCUGGGUGACAGAGGGAGAUUCUGUCUCAAAAAAAAAAAAAAAAAAAAAAGACGACAUAAAUUUAAUGUUAAGUGUGGACUCAUAAAGAACCUAGACAGCCACCAAGCCAUUUGUUUAUUCUUGAUUUCUUAAAGCUUCCAUUAUUAAAAGCUCUGCAUUCCAUUACUCAUC